rnacentral:rRNA from 1 species
UGCAAGUCGAACGAACUCUGGUAUUGAUUGGUGCUUGCAUCAUGAUUUACAUUUGAGUGAGUGGCGAACUGGUGAGUAACACGUGGGAAACCUGCCCAGAAGCGGGGGAUAACACCUGGAAACAGAUGCUAAUACCGCAUAACAACUUGGACCGCAUGGUCCGAGCUUGAAAGAUGGCUUCGGCUAUCACUUUUGGAUGGUCCCGCGGCGUAUUAGCUAGAUGGUGGGGUAACGGCUCACCAUGGCAAUGAUACGUAGCCGACCUGAGAGGGUAAUCGGCCACAUUGGGACUGAGACACGGCCCAAACUCCUACGGGAGGCAGCAGUAGGGAAUCUUCCACAAUGGACGAAAGUCUGAUGGAGCAACGCCGCGUGAGUGAAGAAGGGUUUCGGCUCGUAAAACUCUGUUGUUAAAGAAGAACAUAUCUGAGAGUAACUGUUCAGGUAUUGACGGUAUUUAACCAGAAAGCCACGGCUAACUACGUGCCAGCAGCCGCGGUAAUACGUAGGUGGCAAGCGUUGUCCGGAUUUAUUGGGCGUAAAGCGAGCGCAGGCGGUUUUUUAAGUCUGAUGUGAAAGCCUUCGGCUCAACCGAAGAAGUGCAUCGGAAACUGGGAAACUUGAGUGCAGAAGAGGACAGUGGAACUCCAUGUGUAGCGGUGAAAUGCGUAGAUAUAUGGAAGAACACCAGUGGCGAAGGCGGCUGUCUGGUCUGUAACUGACGCUGAGGCUCGAAAGUAUGGGUAGCAAACAGGAUUAGAUACCCUGGUAGUCCAUACCGUAAACGAUGAAUGCUAAGUGUUGGAGGGUUUCCGCCCUUCAGUGCUGCAGCUAACGCAUUAAGCAUUCCGCCUGGGGAGUACGGCCGCAAGGCUGAAACUCAAAGGAAUUGACGGGGGCCCGCACAAGCGGUGGAGCAUGUGGUUUAAUUCGAAGCUACGCGAAGAACCUUACCAGGUCUUGACAUACUAUGCAAAUCUAAGAGAUUAGACGUUCCCUUCGGGGACAUGGAUACAGGUGGUGCAUGGUUGUCGUCAGCUCGUGUCGUGAGAUGUUGGGUUAAGUCCCGCAACGAGCGCAACCCUUAUUAUCAGUUGCCAGCAUUAAGUUGGGCACUCUGGUGAGACUGCCGGUGACAAACCGGAGGAAGGUGGGGAUGACGUCAAAUCAUCAUGCCCCUUAUGACCUGGGCUACACACGUGCUACAAUGGAUGGUACAACGAGUUGCGAACUCGCGAGAGUAAGCUAAUCUCUUAAAGCCAUUCUCAGUUCGGAUUGUAGGCUGCAACUCGCCUACAUGAAGUCGGAAUCGCUAGUAAUCGCGGAUCAGCAUGCCGCGGUGAAUACGUUCCCGGGCCUUGUACACACCGCCCGUCACACCAUGAGAGUUUGUAACACCCAAAGUCGGUGGGGUAACCUUUUAGGAACCAGCCGCCUAAGGUGG